rnacentral:rRNA from 1 species
GACGAACGCUGGCGGCGUGCUUAACACAUGCAAGUCGAACGGUGAACUCCGCUUGCGGGGGGAUCAGUGGCGAACGGGUGAGUAACACGUGGGCAACCUGCCCUCAGCUCUGGGAUAACUCCAAGAAAUUGGGGCUAAUACCGGAUAUGACCGCUGACCGCAUGGUCUGGUGGUGGAAAGAUUUAUCGGCUGGGGAUGGGCCCGCGGCCUAUCAGCUUGUUGGUGGGGUAGUGGCCUACCAAGGCGACGACGGGUAGCCGGCCUGAGAGGGUGACCGGCCACACUGGGACUGAGACACGGCCCAGACUCCUACGGGAGGCAGCAGUGGGGAAUAUUGCGCAAUGGGCGAAAGCCUGACGCAGCGACGCCGCGUGGGGGAUGACGGCCUUCGGGUUGUAAACCUCCUUCAGCAGGGACGAAGCGAAAGUGACGGUACCUGCAGAAGAAGCACCGGCCAACUACGUG